CGCGCCUGACGCACGCGGAGCCCCGCGGGGCGCGCAGCGAACCCCGCACCCACGGCCGCGGGGCGCGCCCGGCGCGGCUUUUCCCGAAAGGGAACCAUCCUGGGAUUUUAUUGUCAUUAUAAUUAUUGUUUUUUAAAAAAAAGUUUCCACAGGUGCUCUGUACCCCGGUGCGGGGCCAGGGGUGGGGAGCGACCGCACCGCCGUCGUCGUGCGGUUGACGCCCUUUGUCUUUCGUCUGCAGAACCUUUCCCUACAUCAAGGGAAGGAUCUGCGCACCGGUGACGGCAGGGAUGUUUAACCGGGGAUGGGCAGGGAAUGCCUGACAUGGGGCACGGCGGGAAUAUAACCCUGGCCAUGGGUAUGAGUGUUGCAUCGGACACGCAUAGCAGGAUAAAAAGGGAAGAAAUAAAGUCUGAAUGUGUGAGAGAUGGAACAAGAUAACGGGAAAAGCCACUUGACAGAGUGCUUCAUAGAUGCGCAAAAAAUUGAGACCGACCAGCCUAGAGCCUCCCUAUUACCUCUGAAGAGCGCUUGACACAGCCACCCGCUGCGGUUUCAAAAAAGCGAGCUUUCCUCAGAGACAUUUCUCUCAGGAUGCACUUUUCUCUUUGAUUUUUCCACUAGGUAUCCUUCCUCAACGAUUAGCACAGACCAGGCUCCGUGCCAGCACCCCGAGGUCGGAAGGGAGCAGGACACAGCGGGACUUCAGGCGGAGGCGGGGCGGCGGCGGGACGGGCGCGCUCUGCCCCGCAUGCCCUGCCCUCCGCGGCUGCCCGGGGCCCCGUCCCUGCCCCGCAUGCCCUGCCCUCCGCGGCUGCCCGGGAGCCCGUCUCUGCUCCGGGCUCUCUUUCCGCCUCCCAGCUCUCACAGCUCGUGAGCCGCAGAGCCCAGAAAAAUGACCCGAAGAUACAGACGAAUGCUCCAUAUGUUGAAUACAGACACAGAUACAAUGCAGAACAUUUCUGUCUCUCUGAAUACAUUUAAGGACAGAUACACGUGUCACACGUAGCAGGAACACACACUGCGAGUAGAUUCUUCUGUCGUGGAUUUUCCCUUCUCCUCAGAAAAGUUCCUCUAAAAUGCAAAGAGCAGAGAUGAAUGUUGUUUUCCUCCCAUACCCUCUGCAACUUAAUAGGUAUCGCAGAAACAUGUAAAAUUUUCUAAAUCCUGCCACAAUGAACACCUGGUGAAAAAAGUUUAAUUAACUGAAUUCUUUCUUCCCUGAAACAACUUUUGCAGCACAAAAGACUUUAAAUUCAAAUGUUUCUUUGGUUUAUGCUGAAAUAAAUAAACACAGAAAUAAAAUAGAGUGCACUGCAGUGGUAUUAGAUGUUUUAAGAGCACGAUUUUUUGCAUACGGUUGGGAACGCAUACUUCUGUACUACUGAGAGAGAAAAUAAAAAUAAACAAAACCCCCAAA